rnacentral:rRNA from 1 species
UACAGAGGUCUCAAGCGUUGUUCGGAUUCAUUGGGCGUAAAGGGCGCGUAGGCGGCGGGGUAAGUCUGGUGUGAAAUCUCGGAGCUCAACUCCGAAAUUGCACUGGAUACUGCUCUGCUUGAGGGUUGGAGAGGAGAUCGGAAUUCACGGUGUAGCAGUGAAAAUGCGUAGAUAUCGUGAGGAAGACCAGUGGCGAAGGCGGAUCUCUGGACAAAUCCUGACGCUGAGGCGCGAAGGCUAGGGGAGCAAACGGG